CUUCUACAUACAAGGGGUACUCAUGCUACUUAUAAGAAGUUGUUGGAUAGGGUGAACAGUCGGUUGGCUUCCUAGAAGGACAAACUUUUCUCCUAUGCAGGACGCGCAACUUUAAUCCAAGCUGUGACUUCCUCUAUUCCUAUUUAUGCUAUGCAAACUACUAAACUCCCUGUGAGUGUUUGUGAUGAAUUAGACCAAUUGAAUAGAAAUUUUUUCUGGGGAGGCAGUGAAAAACGAACCAAAGUUCAUCUAUGUCAGUGGAAUUUGGUUUGUCAUCCUAAGUGUAAAGGAGGGUUGGGUUUUAAGAACUCCUCUGCUAUGAAUCAAGCCUUGCUUGCUAAAAUGGGUUGGAGGACUUAGAACAAGGAUGGGGGGCUUUGGGCUAGGAUUUAUGAGGCCAAAUACCUUAAAGCCCUAAGGGCUCAAAUCUAGCAGCAAACUGAUGCAAUCAAGGGUAGAGCCACAUUUCAACACGUACUUUGACCGCAUCGUAAUCAAGGGUAGGGACACAUUUCAACCCGAGCUGAAAGUUAACUCAUAGUGAUUUUACUCUAGUAGUGAUUGUAAUGUUAUCAGCAUUUCAUGCCACAAAGGUGGGAAAUCAGCUUUGCCACACAGGUGGCAUUCACAAUCACUACGUAUGACAUGAUCAUAGAAACUUUUUAACUAA